rnacentral:rRNA from 1 species
UACGUAGGGUGCAAGCGUUAAUCGGAAUUACUGGGCGUAAAGCGUGCGCAGGCGGUUAUGUAAGACAGGUGUGAAAUCCCCGGGCUUAACCUGGGAACUGCAUUUGUGACUGCAUAGCUAGAGUACGGUAGAGGGGGAUGGAAUUCCGCGUGUAGCAGUGAAAUGCGUAGAUAUGCGGAGGAACACCGAUGGCGAAGGCAAUCCCCUGGACCUGUACUG